rnacentral:rRNA from 1 species
CCUACGGGGUGCUGCAGUCGAGAAUCAUUCACAAUGGGGGAAACCCUGAUGGUGCGACGCCGCGUGGGGGAAUGAAGGUCUUCGGAUUGUAAACCCCUGUCAUGUGGGAGCAAAUUAAAAAGAUAGUACCACAAGAGGAAGAGACGGCUAACUCUGUGCCAGCAGCAGCGGUAAUACAGAGGUCUCAAGCGUUGUUCGGAAUCACUGGGCGUAAAGCGUGCGUAGGCGGUUUGGUAAGUCGUGUGUGAAAGGCGCGGGCUCAACCCGCGGAGGGCAGAUGAUACUGCGAGACUAGAGUAAUGGAGGGGUAGGCGGAAUGCUCGGUGUAGCAGUGAAAUGCGUAGAUAUCGAGAGGAACACUCAUGGCGAAGGCGGGUUCCUGGACAUUAACUGACGCUGAUGCACGAAGGCGAGGGGAGCGAAAGGGAUUAGAUACCCUAGUAGUC